UAUCCCACCUCUUCCACCCUCUUCUUCACGAACUGAGAUCUCUUUCGUCGUUCUCUCUAGUCUUGCCGCCGCUUGUUGCCACCGCCACCACCGCCGGUCGUUGCUGAAUUACUCCCCCUCAGUCGCUUCACACCGCCGCCGCCACUGCCCUCGAAUCUCCCGCAAUCUUGCCUUCUCUGCCCUAAGAUCGGAAAAAUCGGCAGCACCCUGUCGAUUUUCCGUCCAACCUCUCCCUCCCUCAAAUGACUUCUCGCGGCAACGACGAGUCCUCCACGAACAAGCAGAUCCGGCGGCGCUCCAUCAGAACCCGACGGAUUUCGGUGAUUUCGGCAGCGUAAGAGAUAUGGGAGGUUCUACUGUGCUUCACGGCGGAUCUGGCAUUUCCCGGUGGACGGCAGCAACGUGCACUACUUCCUACGACGGCAGCAACGUCCCCGUCGCCUAGACCGUGCACAGUAGCGUUGGUAGCACAUCUCCACUGCUGGAUCUCGUGGACAGCGGCAUUUCGAUGGUUUUCAACACAUACCUACACCCGUUCGAAGCCCGUUUUGCAAUACUUGCCCCCUUCGGCAUUGGCCCACUCUUAACCAAAGUAGUUUUAGUGUGAGUUAUUAGGACCCCGGCGGCGAGCUUAGUAGCGCAUUAGGGACGUGAUACAUGUGGGAGCGAGGGUUGAAGGAAGCAGGGUCGAGCGUUUCUGUAAUAUGUUAGCUACAUUUUGUAGUUUGACCUUUCACGUUUACACGGUCUUCCAAGAAGAGUCUGGAGAACCACGACGGGUAGCUGCUUGGAAUAUUUAAAAGAUGAUUGUUGGGCCAUUUUUUGUUGGGUUAGUAGUUGCUUGGUAUAAUUUGUUUAUGUACGGGGUUGAUGAACAUGAAAAACAUUUGUUCAUGUAUAUAUAAUUUACAAUAUGUAUAGACUUUAUAUUUGUAGGUGGGUUGGUGUACUAAUGGAUAUAUAUGUUGUUGAAUGUAAAAUACGUUACAAUUGACAGGUA